GGCAAGGUGGCCGAGCGGUCUAAGGCGCCAGACUAAGGAAAACGUGAGAAACAUCAGUUUCUAUCAACAUGAGGGCCAUGGCAGUUUCUGUCUAAGCAAAUAUCUGGUCCGAAAGGGCGUGGGUUCGAAUCCCAUCCUUGUCA